rnacentral:lncRNA from 1 species
CCUCCAUUUCUCCCGUGUAUCAUUCGUGACUUUGUCCAAUUAGCAAAUUUCUAUGCUACUUUCAAUAACAAUAAAUAGGAAUCAAUUCUAAGACCAUACUUACGUGGAAUACAGAUAAUAAAGAGUUCCACUAGAAUAAAAUGCGUUAGUAUUUUAGAUUAAAUUUUAUUGUGUUUCAAUUGUGUACCAACAUUACAAGGCUUUGAAAUUAAGAUUUUCUUGGUUUUGGUCGUGUACUCAAAUUUUGAGACUCUCCUACAGGAUGUACUAAUAAUUUAGGUUAGAUUCUCUUGCGCUUCUAUCAUGACAAUUUAGGAGGCAUAUUUUAUAUUUUAUUGUUUCCUUCUCAAUUAUAAAAGUCCGUCAUUUUGUUUUAAAAAAUCCAUACAAAUAAAUUAUUCUAGAUCGCAACGCAAAGCACCGAAAUUAACUAGUCUAGUCUCUCUAUGUCUUUGCCUAUUGUUUUGUGAAUUCGGCCACUUGAGAAUUGAGCAUAGAACACUCCAGGAAACAUGUAAUUAAACCACAUAAAUUUUGCUGAUAAGAAAUAAAAAGAAAAAAAACCACAUAAAAAAUGAAAAGUUCCUCUAUUAGCAAAGCUAAGUUCUAAUUUCCCUCUUUAUCGACCAAAGCCGAUGUAAAGUGAAUUAUUUAUUAUGUUUCCUAGCUACCUACUUGCUAUACAUAUAACAUUCGUUAUAUAUAUAACAUAUGUAAACCUUAAAAACAUUAUUCCUCCAGCCUUAGAACAUCCCACGACUUGAAGCUGUCCUAAUGAUCUGAAACAGAGCUGUCAAACAAAACAACAAUGAGUCAUAUUUUCACCGAAAUAACUACAUAUUUACAAAGAAAUAUCUUCCGAACUUAUCCAAUCUAGCUUUUGCUGUUUAAAACUGAAAUGAAAAUUUGAUAGAAGCAGAAGAACGUACAAGAUCCAACGACGACAAAGAUGAAGAAUCCAAGAACAAUUGGGCCCACAGGGUAGCCUUUCUUAGUGCUUUCUGAUCCUUUUUUGCUAAUAUUCCUUUCAAACCUUGCGAUUUUCCUGUCUGCUAGGCGCUUUGAAGUAGUCUGUGAAAUCAAACAAGGUAAAGUAAACAAACACAAGAAAUAUCACCAACCAAAAAGCAUAAAGAUGAAAUCAGAAGGCUCCAAAAUCAAAAUCCAAAACAUCAAAGAUGAAAAUUUGGAAAAUGGCCGUCUUUAUUCUGACUUCUGUAACAGCAAUUCCCAAAAGCAAAAAAUAUAAUAAGGACAACAUUUGGAGGGUUCAGGGACUCCAAAUCCAAAUUAUAUUAUAUUGCUCCUAUUUUUAUAUUAUUCUUGACGACAUAAGAUUCUUUUGUUGGGCUACAUUUAAAAAAUAUAAUCAAAAAAUUAACACUGAUAUACAAAUUACAAACUCCCGAAAUCUACUUUUUCUUUUUCUCUUCCCUAUUAUCAAACAGAUAAAACAAAGAUUUUCGAAUUAAAGAAAAGAGUACGAGAGAAAACCAGAUAGAAAGGACGAUUACAAUGAACUGGCCACGAAGGCAAAUAAGUCAACGGGGUUUCAGUGACAAUCAGAAACAAAAGGAAAAACCAAGCAAAAUUACAGAAUAAAUUAUGAAAAGAACGGGGGAGAGAAACUUUACCAUAAUGACAGUAGUAAGAAGAUGAGUGACCAACCCAACAACCCUUUGAAAGUAGUGAGAAAAUUAAGAAAAUUUUUUGUAAAAGGAUGAAACACUGAAACCUGAACAGUGUUUUUUGGUACUUAUAAUGAAAAGGAGAGGGGCAUUUGAGUGUUGUUUGUCAAAUACGCAUGAGUGUGUCACCUCCUUAAGCUGACUCGUGGAGAUUAUCCAAACACACCCUCUUCUUCUACUUUUGGAAAGUUUAAUUAUAUAUUUCUCAGUUUUGGAAAAAU